GCGUGCAAGCAGGAGCUGGGCAGGGAUCUCUCAGCUGUGAAGGGAGGCGUCACGCUACCUAUCAGAGCUUGCAUGUAAGCAGGAGGGGGCAGGGAUCUCUCAGUUAAGCCUCCCUUCCCAGCUGAGGGAUCCCCGCCCCCUCCUGCUUGCACGC